AUGGGCGCAAGCCUGAUCUAGCCAUGCCGCGUGAGUGAUGAAGGCCUUAGGGUCGUAAAGCUCUUUCGCCAGGGAUGAUAAUGACAGUACCUGGUAAAGAAACCCCGGCUAACUCCGUGCCAUCAGCCGCGGUGAUAGGGAGGGGGCUAGCGUUGUUCGGAAUUACUGGGCGUAAAGCGCACGUAGGCGGAUUUUUAAGUCAGGGGUGAAAUCCCGGGGCUCAACCCCGGAACUGCCUUUGAAACUGGAAGUCUUGAGUUCAGGAGAGGUGAGUGGAAUUCCGAGUGUAGAGGUGAAAUUCGUAGAUAUUCGGAGGAACACCAGUGGCGAAGGCGGCUCACUGGCUCGAUACUGACGCUGAGGUGCGAAAGUGUGGGGAGCAAACAGGAUUAGAUACCCUGGUAGUCCACACCGUAAACGAUGAAUGCCAGUCGUCGGCAAGCAUGCUUGUCGGUGACACACCUAACGGAUUAAGCAUUCCGCCUGGGGAGUACGGUCGCAAGAUUAAAACUCAAA
rnacentral:rRNA from 1 species